GGGAGGUAGGGGUACAAUGUAAUAUUUGUUUAAACAAAUUGUUGGUUUCCUUUGAAAUAUAUAGCAAGGACUGGGCGUUGUUUUAAAUACUAAGAAACGUCUUAAACAAGUUCUUAACUAAAUGUCCUAAGACAUAUCUUAAGACAUAUCCUAGGAUACUUUCAAUGACACGGCCCUCGGUACUAUAUCCUUCUUUCAAUCGACAGUUUAUAUAUAUCAAGAUGCCAGAAAUCUGCAACAUAUAAUAUUAUACAAUUUGGCUAAUUUAUUAAAUUUCGUCCGUAUUUUUCUUCUUCAAGAUCAUUUUUUUUUUUUUUUGAAUUUUACAUACUUUAUUGAAAAAUUCACAUUUGUUCGUUUGAUACAGUACCG
rnacentral:lncRNA from 1 species